UAUCAGUAUCUCUCCUUAAAAAUAUUCAAAGGUGUGAAGUUAGUAUAAUGCCUAGGAGGUAAAGAUUGUCGAUCCCUUCUCUGAGGACUUCGAGAUCUAUAGUUUUGGGAGCCCCCAUUCUUCCACCUUUGGAAUGGGGAUCGGGAGUGCCGGUGAGUUCUCCCUUUUCACCUUGGAGAAUGCUUCUUAUUCUACCUUGCCGCCAUGGAAUUGAUAAGAGUCUCCUCUGCAAAAGCCUCCUCCGUGCGGACGUACUUCUCCGCACGGGCAAGCAUAUCCAGAAAGUCUCAAGUAUAAAUAAUUUUUUUUAAGUCAUUCUUCAGUAGGCCACCCAUCAUCACAGCCAUCAC
rnacentral:lncRNA from 1 species